UUCUGACUGGUGUUGAAAGACCCCCGAAGGGAGACCCUCACUCAAGCCUCGGGACAGCCGCGGACCCAAGAAGACACUGAGACCG
rnacentral:pre_miRNA from 7 species